rnacentral:rRNA from 1 species
UACGUAGGGGGCAAGCGUUGUCCGGAUUUAUUGGGCGUAAAGAGCGUGUAGGCGGCCAAACAGGUCAGCUGUGAAAACUCGAGGCUCAACCUCGAGACGUCGGUUGAAACCGUUUGGCUAGAGUCCGGAAGAGGAGAGUGGAAUUCCCGGUGUAGCGGUGAAAUGCGCAGAUAUCGGGAAGAACACCCGUGGCGAAGGCGGCUCUCUGGGACGGUACUGACGCUGAGACGCGAGAGCGUGGGGAGCGAACAGG